AUUCCCUUUCGCUGCGCUUUCACUGAUAAUACGCCCCCGGUUUGCACACCGGGAAUCCAGGAGAGUUCAUGUAC
rnacentral:sRNA from 1 species